CCUACGGUAGACAGCAGUGGGGGAUAUUGCACAAUGGGGGAAACCCUGAUGCAGCGACGCCGCGUGAGUGAAGAAGUAUUUCGGCUCGUAAAGCUCUGUUAUUGGAGAAGAACGUGCGUGAGAGUAACUGUUCACGCAGUGACGGUAUCCAACCAGAAAGUCACGGCUAACUACGUGCCAGCAGCCGCGGUAAUACGUAGGUGGCAAGCGUUAUCCGGAUUUAUUGGGCGUAAAGCGAGCGCAGGCGGUUGCUUAGGUCUGAUGUGAAAGCCUUCAGCUUAACCGAAGAAGUGCAUCGGAAACCGGGCGACUUGAGUGCAGAAGAGGACAGUGGAACUCCAUGUGUAGCGGUGGAAUGCGUAGAUAUAUGGAAGAACACCAGUGGCGAAGGCGGCUGUCUGGUCUGCAACUGACGCUGAGGCUCGAAAGCAUGGGUAGCGAACAGGAUUAGAUACCCGAGUAGUC
rnacentral:rRNA from 1 species